rnacentral:tRNA from 1 species
GGAGGGAUGGCCGAGUGGUUUAAGGCGGCGGUCUUGAAAACCGCUGUUCCCGAAAGGGACCGGGGGUUCGAAUCCCUCUCCCUCCGCCA